UACGUAGGGUGCAAGCGUUUGUCCGGAAUUACUGGGCGUAAAGAGCUCGUAGGUGGUUUGUCGCGUUGUCCGUGAAAACUCACAACUCAAUUGUGGGCGUGCGGGCGAUACGGGCAGACUGGAGUACUGCAGGGGAGACUGGAAUUCCUGGUGUAGCGGUGGAAUGCGCAGAUAUUAGGAAGAACACCGGUGGCGAAGGCGGCCAUCUGGCUCGGUACUGACGCUCAGGCGCGAAAGCGUGGGGAGCAAACAGG
rnacentral:rRNA from 1 species